rnacentral:rRNA from 1 species
GACGAACGCUGGCGGCGUGCCUAACACAUGCAAGUCGAACGGGGUUAUUUCUUCGGAGAUAACUUAGUGGCGAGCGGGGGAGUAACGCGUGAGAAACCUGCCUUUCAGUGGGGGACAACAGUUGGAAACGACUGCUAAUACCGCAUAAUGUCAUUUGGGGGCAUCCCCGAAUGACCAACGAUUUAUUGCUGAAAGAUGGUCUCGCGUCUGAUUGGCUAGAUGGCGGGGUAACGGCCCAACAUGGCGACGAUCAGUAGCCGGUCUGAGAGGAUGAACGGCCACAUUCGGACGGAGAUACCGCCCAGACUCCUACGGGAGGCAGCAGUGGGGAAUAUUGGGCAAUGGGGGAAACCCUGACCCAGCAACGCCGCGUGAAGGAAGAAGGCCUUCGGGUUGUAAACUUCUUUUACCAGGGACGAACAAAUGACGGUACCUGGAGAAAAAGCAACGGCUAACUACGUGCCAGCAGCCGCUGUAAAAC